rnacentral:ncRNA from 1 species
AAAUCCGGGAGAGAUCUCGCCGGAACAUAUUUUCGGGCCGGGACGCCGAAGGGGCAGGAAAAACUCUCAGGCAAAAGGAUCGGA